AAGAAUACUGACAAUUGAACGACAUGACUUAAAAUUAGAGUGGCACACAUUUUUAUGGGAUGGGAAAAAUAAGACGCACAGUUAUUUCCAAAGACACCAAAUAAGAAAUGUAUGGCUAUUAAUUUGGGAAAAGAUUAAAAGGAAUCAUGACAAAAUUCCGAUCUGGUUAUCAACCAUGGAGGCAUCAAUAUAUCCAAAUGUGUUAGUUCUAGAUAAGAUAGUAAGGUAUAAGGAUAUCUUAAACGGGCAAGGGAUAUUAAAAACAAAACAAGAAUUAAAAGAACAAGGAAUCGAGGUAAAGUGGUGGACAUAUAUGCAAAUACAAACAAGAUUCAAGAAAGAUGUAGAAAGAUUCAGAGAAUUAUCGCAAUUAGAUAAGAUACUACAA